rnacentral:rRNA from 1 species
CAAGGCAACCCGCUGAACUUAAGCAAA